rnacentral:rRNA from 1 species
UUUAAGCAUAUCRCUCAGUGGAGGAAAUGCAAGCAACAGCGACUGCUGCAGUAAUGGCGAAUGAAUGGGCAACUGAUGUCAGCCUGAAGUGAAUCCCAACUGCACUCUGUGCAUUCGGCUCUUGUGGGUUUCAGCAGAUGCUGUGGGCAAUGGAGCAGACAGCUAUGUCUUGGUUGGUCAUGCACCAAGGAGUGACCUGGAAUGGUCCACAAGAGAGGGAUACUGUCCCAUAUGGUGCUGUGUGCUGUGGCCAGCCAGGUGUGGCUGUUUGCAUCCAGGAGUAGAGUGGCUUGGGACUGCAGUUUGAAGUGUGAUGUGUAUCCAUCACAAGGAAGCAUACUUGACAUGGGACCGAUAGCGCACAAGUAGAGUGAUUGAAGGAUGCAAAGGACUCUGCAAAGAGAGUUAAAAGUCCCUGAAGCCUCAACAGGGCCGGUGGAGAUUGAUGCUGUGACUGUCUGGAUAGCCCCAUGAGCCAGCUGGGUGGUGUGACCCUGUAAGCACUCGAGCAGGCCCACCUCACAGUUGAGCCAGGUCUUUCCUUGUCUGCCCAAGCAACCCUGGGCCAACCACCAGGUUGAUCACUGAGCCCCACCCCCAAGGGUAGGAGGACCAUCUUGACAGCCUGUGGUGUCACUCUGUGUGUCAGGGCCUGGGGCUUGUGAUGUGAUGAACCCAAGUGUUAUGGCAAACCGAGCAGGGCAGACUGAGGGUAGGGUGCAAAGCAGCCCCACUUGGGGUGCACCAGGCCUGUCACCAAACAGGCACCCAGGUCUUGUCCUGACUCCCACCAGAAUGAGAGUGUCUGAGCCUGGUGUGUCUUCGGACAUGCCAGUGGCUGUGGUGCCUCUGGUUUGGGGCUGGUGGAUGCUUGGUGGCUGCACUGCAUUGUGUGGUGGCUCCAGGUGACUGCUGGCCUUCCAGUCGGUGCCUAAGCCAGACGGCAGCUGAGCUUGGUACAGCAGUGCCACUCUCUGCCCGUCUUGAAACACGGACCAAGGAGUCUAUGGAGCUUGCAGGUUUGAAGGUGCUAUCAACAAACCACAGAGCAUGGUGAAGGCAAUUCUCAUCCCAGAUGGUGCAGUGGCUCUCUUCUCAAUGGACUGGUUGAAGCUGGUGUGGGGUGAUCAGGCACCCAACUGGGGUGGACAUGUGGAAUGUCUGUGUCCCACCCCUGGCUUGGUGUGCUCCCCCACACAGCCCACGGUCUUGAAGCCUACUGUCAGUUGGAUUGCUGCAUGGGACCCCGGUCUUGUGUCCAUUGGACUGAGUUCUGAGUGAUUGCAAGGUCCAUGGGACCCGAAAGGUGGUGAACUAUACCAUUCUAUGGUGAAGCCGUGGGAAACUGCGGUGGAAGCCAGUCGCUGUUCUGACGUGCAAAUUGUGUAGCCUGAGCAUGGCAUAGGGGUGAAAGGCCAAUCGAGCCACCUAGUAGCUGGUUUCCCUCGAAGUUUCCCUCAGGAUAGCUGGGCUCAGAUGCAGAGUCAACCCAAGUGAUUAUGUCCGGUAAAGCAACGCAUGAGAGGCAAUCUCUGGGCAGGCUCCCCUGCUCAACCUAUUCUCGAACUGUGAAUGGGCAUGGCAACAGCCCUUCAAGCAUGCUUCUUCACUGUGCUGGAGUCCACCUGGUGGUUCUCCUUGGCUUCUGAGCGUGUUGUCUGGUGGUUCAAUGGCCACCAACCCUGUGUGCUAUCUCUCUGUGAGGCCACAUGGGUAUGAUCAUGUAUCAAUGGGGAUUGCUAUGCUGUCUCUGUCAAUCCAAAGGCCAUUGUGCUGCCAAGUUGAACAGAUGUGCCUAUGUGGACCAAGAUUGGUAAGCAGUGCUGGUGAUGCGGGGUGCUCCGAGAGUGGACUUACAGAACCCGAGUGCUGGCUCAUACCCAGAUCCCACAAAGGAUGUUGUCUACUAGAGAUAGCAGGACGGUGGCCAUGAAGGUUGGAACCCGCUAAGGAAUGUGUAACAACUCACCUGCCGAAGUGUGCAGCUCCGAAAAUGGAUGGUGCCCAAGUCAGUGAAGCUAACUUUGCCUUACAGUCCUCCGCUGCUGUGGGCAGCCAAGCAGAGCAUCAGCCGUGUAGAAAGGACAUGGGAGAUUGCUGUUCAAGCUGGGGUUGCCCCUGGCUGGAGUGUCUUCUGGAGCAGAUCUUGGUUGUAGUAGCAAAUACUCCAUCGAGUGAAGAGCAGUACAAGCCUUGCUGUGUGCGGUUGAGGACAGGAGUGGAGCAGGUUUCCACACCAAACAUCCGUUGAAUGUGGGUCAGCCGGCCGUGAGCCAAGUGGUAAGUUCACCCAACAACCAAAGCUGCCGUUCCCUUGGGCAUGGAGUCUCUGUGGAAGGGAUUCAUUGUGUGAUGCAGAGCCCCAGUGCUCAACCCUCAGCAGGACUCUGACUCAAAGGUGUUUGGCAGGAGUGGCAAACAGGCAAGCAAGUGCAACAUUCUGCUGUGAUGGGCUUGGAGCCUUUGGGGGUGACCUCCUGUGACUGGAGCAAGCAGGCUCAGAGGCAGUGCACCCCCUGUGGAGUUCUCGUUUCCUCCUGAUGCAGGUUCAUGUGGGCUAUUGAUCACAUCUCAGGGUGGAGGGAUAGCUCUCCACCCAGCAAGGCAGUGUGCUCUUGACACUGGUGGCAUUGUUGUGAUAUCCAGUCAGGCAGGUGCUCCUCACAGAGUCACUUGACCAAGUCAACCAUGGAAUCUCAGCCAAUGGCAGUCACUGGUAGUCCAAUGAACGGCCUGUGGGACAGUGUGCUCCUGGUCCCUUGUUGUCGUACUGAAUCACCGCAGCCGGUCUCCUCGGCUCGACGCCGCUUGUUGACGGACUGAAUGCAGCUAAGGGAAGUCGGCAAACUGGCCAUGUACCUUUGGAAGAUGUGGUGGCUCCAGAGGCCAAGUCGUAGGGCCCUGUUGCAGGCCAGGUUGGCUGGGUCAGUGGUGUCACCAGUGUGGUGGCUUCGGUCAUUGCUCUGCCGUGCCCACCUCCAACUGCCUGGCUCUUAGCAGCAGGGGGCCAGUCCAGCCUUCGGGCUGUCUGUGCCCACCCCUGUGUCUAUCAAGUGGCUCAUGUGGAACUGUUGCUGUGCAGGGGAAUCUGACUGUUUAAUUGAAACCCAGCUUUGUGAUGGGAUCAGCUGGCUGAUGCCAUGAGGUGACUUCUGCCCAGUGCUCUGAUUGUCAAUGCGAAGAGAUUCAGCCAAGCGCGGGUAAACGGCGGGAGUAACUAUGACUCUCUUAAGGUAGCCAAAUGCCUCGUCAACCAAUUAUUGACGCGCAUGAAUGGAUCAACGAGAUUCCUGCUGUCCCUAGUUGCUGUCUGGUGAACCAACAGCCAAGGGAACGGGCUUGGGUGUGUCAGCGGGGAAAGAAGA